GUGGGGAAUAUUGGACAAUGGGCGCAAGCCUGACCCAGCAACGCCGCGUGAAGGAAGAAGGCCUUCGGGUUGUAAACUUCUUUUAUGAGGGACGAAGGAAGUGACUGUACCUCAUGAAUAAGCCACGGCUAACUACGUGCCAGCAGCCGCGGUAUACGUAGGGUGCAAGCGUUAAUCGGAAUUACUGGGCGUAAAGGGCGCGUAGGCGGACAGUUUAGUCAGAGGUGAAAGCCCAGGGCUCAACCUUGGAAUUGCCUUUGAUACUGGCUGUCUUGAGUACGGGAGAGGUGAGUGGAACUCCGAGUGUAGAGGUGAAAUGCGUAGAGAUCGGGAGGAACACCAGUGGCGAAGGCGGCUUACUGGACUGUAACUGACGCUGAGGCGCGAAAGUGUGGGGAGCAAACAGGAUUAGAUACCCCAGUAGUCC
rnacentral:rRNA from 1 species